ACCCUACGGGAGGCAGCAGUAGGGAAUCUUCCACAAUGGGCGCAAGCCUGAUGGAGCAACACCGCGUGAGUGAAGAAGGGUUUCGGCUCGUAAAGCUCUGUUGUUAAAGAAGAACACGUAUGAGAGUAACUGUUCAUACGUUGACGGUAUUUAACCAGAAAGUCACGGCUAACUACGUGCCAGCAGCCGCGGUAAUACGUAGGUGGCAAGCGUUAUCCGGAUUUAUUGGGGCGUAAAGAGAGUGCAGGCGGUUUUCUAAGUCUGAUGUGAAAGCCUUCGGCUUAACCGGAGAAGUGCAUCGGAAACCGGAUAACUUGAGUGCAGAAGAGGGUAGUGGAACUCCAUGUGUAGCGGUGGAAUGCGUAGAUAUAUGGAAGAACACCAGUGGCGAAGGCGGCUACCUGGUCUGCAACUGACGCUGAGACUCGAAAGCAUGGGUAGCGAACAGGAUUAGAUACCCUGGUAGGAUAGCG
rnacentral:rRNA from 1 species